rnacentral:rRNA from 1 species
UACGUAGGGUACAAGCGUUGUCCGGAAUUAUUGGGCGUAAAGAGCUCGUAGGUGGUCUGUCACGUCUGCUGUGGAAACGCAAGGCUCAACCUUGCGCGUGCAGUGGGUACGGGCGGACUAGAGUGCAGUAGGGGGAGUCUGGAAUUCCUGGUGUAGCGGUGAAAUGCCGCAGAUAUCAGGAGGAACACCGGUGGCGAAGGCGGGACUCUGGGCUGUAACUGACCGCUGAGGAGCGAAAGCAUGGGGAGCGAACAGGAUUGAGAUACCC